UUUGACCUCAAAUCAGGUAGGACUACCCGCUGAACUUAAGCAUAUCAAUAAGCGGAGGAAAAGAAACCAACAGGGAUUGCCUCAGUAGCGGCGAGUGAAGCGGCAAAAGCUCAAAUUUGAAAUCUGGCGUCUUUGGCGUCCGAGUUGUAAUUUGAAGAAGGUAUCUUUGGGCCCGGCUCUUGUCUAUGUUCCUUGGAACAGGACGUCACAGAGGGUGAGAAUCCCGUGCGAUGAGAUGACCCGGGUCUGUGUAAAGUUCCUUCGACGAGUCGAGUUGUUUGGGAAUGCA
rnacentral:rRNA from 2 species